rnacentral:tmRNA from 1 species
GGGGAUGUAAUGGUCUCGACGGGGUACUGAAGCCACGAAGUUCGCAGGCCCACGGUCAUGAAGCCUAACUCCUGGCCACAAAUGUAAUUGACGAAAACGAUUACGCAUUCGCUGCCUGAGCCUAGCUCAGAUAGCCCCUUCGGUAUCGCCAGCUGUGAGCAGGGCUGAAGGUCUUAAAUAAACACAGUAGUUUUCCUGUUUUUUGCAAGAACAGGUGGUGGAGAACUCUGAAUCUCAGAGUUCCGCUCCUAUGAAGCCUGCAUUCUCAGGCUAUUGCGAUAGUGCUUCGUGAUGUGGAUGUAUUUCGGACAGGAGUUCGAUUCUCCUCAUCUCCACCA